GGAGAGGUGGCCGAGUGGUCGAAGGCGCUUGCCUGCUAAGCAAGUGUGGAGGGAAUUCCUCCACCGAGGGUUCGAAUCCCUCCCUCUCCGCCA
rnacentral:tRNA from 2 species